rnacentral:rRNA from 1 species
UACGUAGGGGGCAAGCGUUGUCCGGAAUCAUUGGGCGUAAAGAGCGUGUAGGCGGCUCGGUAAGUCCGCUGUAAAAGUCCAGGGCUCAACCCUGGAAAGCCGGUGGAAACUGUCGAGCUAGAGUCCGGAAGAGGCGAGUGGAAUUCCUGGUGUAGCGGUGAAAUGCGCAGAUAUCAGGAGGAACACCGAUGGCGAAGGCAGGUCUCUGGGCAUUAACUGACGCUGAGGAGCGAAAGCAUGGGGGAGCGAACAGG